rnacentral:rRNA from 1 species
AGUGAACGCUGGCGGUAGGCCUAACACAUGCAAGUCGAACGGCAGCACAGUAAGAGCUUGCUCUUACGGGUGGCGAGUGGCGGACGGGUGAGGAGUACAUCGGAAUCUACUUUUUCGUGGGGGAUAACGUAGGGAAACUUACGCUAAUACCGCAUACGACCUACGGGUGAAAGCAGGGGAUCUUCGGACCUUGCGCGAUUGAAUGAGCCGAUGUCGGAUUAGCUAGUUGGCGGGGUAAAGGCCCACCAAGGCGACGAUCCGUAGCUGGUCUGAGAGGAUGAUCAGCGACACGGGAACUGAGACACGGUCCAGACUCCUACGGGAGGCAGCAGUGGGGAAUAUUGGACAAUGGGCGCAAGCCUGAUCCAGCCAUACCGCGUGGGUGAAGAAGGCCUUCGGGUUGUAAAGCCCUUUUGUUGGGAAAGAAAAGCAGCAGGUUAAUACCCCGCUGUUCUGACGGUACCCAAAGAAUAAGCACCGGCUAACUUCGUG